ACACAUUUUCUCUCUCUAGAAACACCACCAACCAUACACCACCAUCACCACAAUAAUCCAUCACCAUACACCGCCUCUGGCCCCGCCUCCGUCGUCACCAUCAAAGCCGCCGCCACCAUCCCACUGCCGAAAACACCACCAACAUUAAAACCCCAACACCACCAUCCCACUGCUGCCAGCUCCGAACACCCCACCAACCCCUUGCCGCCACUCCACCGUGAAGAUUUGAAGCUUAAACCUACACCGCCGCCGCCUUAAUACUGCAGAUUCCCCACCAUCCCCUCGCCGGCUCCGUCUGCGGCGGUAGCUUCUUCAACUCAUAUAACAGUAAAUGAAGCACUUGAUCUGCUCGUUGAUGAGCUUCAGACAGUAUGGCGUAUGAUCUCCAAUUCUCUUCUGUUGAUCUAGGGUUUUUAAUCACAAUUGUACAAGAUAUAAUUUAACACACAGUUUAUCCUUUUUUGAAGUGUAUGAAUACAUCUCCAGUGACCUGUAAAUAGAGUUUUGAUUAUAACU
rnacentral:lncRNA from 1 species